rnacentral:rRNA from 1 species
UCCUUGCUGGAUUGUGUUGGAAAUUAUUUUCCACACAAAGAAGGCUUUACGCAGGAAUGCGCCAGCAAGUUGCUCCGUUUCAUUUUUGUGCCAGCUAACGCGGUAAGACAAAAGGAGCUUUCUCAUUUUCGGAGAAAAAUUAAAAAGCUAAUUUCUGGAUUCUUAAAAGAAAACCGAGUAGUCUACGGUGUACCGGGAAAAGAYGACUCAGCCUCUAGUGAUAAAUAAACUUCCUAGCCUUUGGGUAAGCCUAUUCCAGGUCCUUGGUUUACCGAUUGACCGUUAAACCUCACUUCCUUAUUAUGAGGUUGCAUGGCCCACUUGCAUUACGAGUAUAUCGUUCUGGUGUGGUGACAUGGCCUCAAGGAAGUUACGACCACGGGUUGAAAAAUAGGAUGAAAUCCUUAUUUUUUAAGACUGGUCAGUAAUCGUGGUUUUUAACGGACCACGGUGAAACAAAGGUCCAAAGGACUUCUAGCUCGUCACCUGGGGUGGUUCCGCCACUCUGGCAAGUCGAAACACGGUAGAAGUUGGGGA